CCAUUUCUAGAGUAGGCAACUUUUAAAUUCUUGAUUUGAACCCCAUCGGAUUCACCAGAGAUGACAUAGGUUCCAGCCUUUGAGAUGGUC
rnacentral:tRNA from 1 species